CAUUCAUAACCUGCUAAUGAGGAGGAGGCUUAUGAACUCUAGAAGUGCUGGAGGAGGAAGAUUAGUGUUUAAAGGACUCAAGCCUGCAGUGAUGAACAUGAUGGUGGCUUCUUCCAUUAAUUUGGAGCCUUGUUGACUUCCGUGGAGCUCUGCAUGAAUUCAAGGUUCCCACUCAUGCUGCCUGGAAACAUUUGGAAAGGUCUUUGCCAGUUUUAUCUGGUAUGCCGAAACCUCCAGUCUUUUUUUGUGAAACAUAAUUCUUCUUUGAAAGUUUCCAACAUGAUAAAUCUCAAACAAUUUGCUUGGAGAAGCUGGAAAAUGGGAGAACUGGAAGAACCUGCUGAGGUUGGAAGGAGGAUUGCUGACAGCUUAAGUCGGCAACUGCCUGAGCUUGUCUCUUCUGAAUACUUAGUGGCUGGGCCUGCAUCCCAGCAACUUCAGGGCUCCUAAUGACUUCAAGGGGGGGUUUAUAUCCAAAGUCGGUACAAGGUCAAGUUCUUUAUUUUGUUUAUGUUCCCUGUCGUUCACCUUUACCUUACCCCUGCAUUGAAUUAGUUUUAUUUUCAUUGUUUAUUAAUUGUGGGCUUAUGCUGCCAGUCAUAGCAGACAUUGGCUUUUGGUGUUGAGUCGUUUAUUAACUGAAUGUCUCCAUUAUUUCUUGUCUCUACGUGAAGCUGAAGAAUUCAUUACAGCCUCUUCCUGCACUGAGCAGUAUGUCAGCCCAUCCUCUCAUGUACUGUGUAUUACAUAAAUAAUGCAAGAUU